AUUUUGAACAGAAAUUGAAAGCUAUAGAAUCAGAAAAAGAUGAUGCUUUAAAAAGAAUGAAAAAAUUUGAGGCUAAACUGAAUUCGACAGAGAAAGAAAAGAAUUCAGCUUUACAAAGAGUCAAAGAUUCUGAACAGAAAUUGAAAGCUACAGAAUCAAGAAAAGAUGCUUU